rnacentral:rRNA from 1 species
CGGGACGGGUGAGUAACGCGUGGGUAACCUGCCUUAUACAGGGGGAGUAACAGUCAGAAAUGGCUGCUAAUACCGCAUAAGCGCACAGAGCUGCAUGGCUCAGUGUGAAAAACUCCGGUGGUAUAAGAUGGACCCGCGUUGGAUUAGCUUGUUGGCGGGGUAACGGCCCACCAAGGCGACGAUCCAUAGCCGGCCUGAGAGGGUGAACGGCCACAUUGGGACUGAGACACGGCCCAGACUCCUACGGGAGGCAGCAUG